AAUCAACGCUGGCGGCGUGCCUCAGACAUGCAGUCGAACGAUUAAAGCUCUCUUCGGAGAGUGUAUAGAGUGGCGCACGGGUGAGUAACACGUAAGUAAUCUACCUUUGAGUGGGGAAUAACCCGGGGAAACCCGAGCUAAUACCGCAUAAUGCAGCGGCAUCGCAAGAUGACAGUUGUUAAAGGAGCAAUCCGCUUAAAGAGGAGCUUGCGGCAGAUUAGCUAGUUGGUAAGGUAAUGGCUUACCAAGGCUACGAUCUGUAUCCGGUCUAAGAGGACGGUCGGACACACUGACACUGGAUAACGGGUCAGGACUCCUACGGGAGGCAGCAGUCGGGAAUUUUGGGCAAUGGCGAAAGCCUGACCCAGCAACGCCGCGUGAAGGAUGAAGUAUUUCGGUAU
rnacentral:rRNA from 1 species